UUAUGAAAUGAAGCCACACUGACUGUACCCAUAAUGCUUUUGGCUAUUGCUUGUGCCGUAUCACCAGUAGAUGGAGGCAAAGACCCGUGGUUUCUUUGCGCGCCCCCGUGACACCCAUGAGCGAAGACGCAUGAGGAGUGAUCACAAUGGAAGUGGCAGGUGCAAAUGAACAAGAAGUGGAAAGCUGUGAAACUUGAUCACGUGAUGCAGAUCAGGCACCAAGUGAGCAAGGAACAACUCUCUAUUUUGGUUAGGACCUGGUUUUGCACCUAGUUAGGAUUUCAGGACUGAAAGAAUGACGUGAACUAAUAGCCGCUCCCACUGAUACAUGACUGACGUGAGCGCAGGUGCGCUUUGAUGCUUAAAGAUGUUGCCAUGGUUACCUCCUGCUUUCCACCCGUGCAAUUAUGCAGAAUAGAUGAACUUCACUCCUCAACAAAUUAACAACAGAUCUUCAGUUCAACAUCCUGUCAAAGCCAAACCUAGGUGUUUACUCUGAGAACUGGGCUUUCAGAAUCUGAAACUCUUCUGCUUUAAUGUCUAGAUGGUGCAAAGGAUGAAUCACGCAAUCAACUCAGAUAUGGAAAUAAUUUUGCUGAUUAAACAAAUGGGUGUUAGGUUUGGUUUUUUAUCGGUUUUCAGUAUUCAGAGUCUACUACAAAAAAAGCAUGUGACCCUUCAGCACUAAUAAGAAGGUGACUCAUAGACGUAGACACAUGAAGCCAUAUUUAAUUUAGCUGCAAUUGUAUUUCUUUAAACAUGCAGGGUUUUUUUUCAUUGUUAUGAGGAUGAGGGCAUGUUGCAAAGCCAUGUUGGCAUCUACCGAAGUUGAUCCAUCUAAUAAAUGAGAUAUAACCAUGGCCGUUUUAAGUUUUUACCAGGGAUCUUAUGUAUUCUUUCAUAACCUUUUUGCCAUUUUACACUUUGGAUACACACUCUGUCUAUAUGUUUUGGGGGGUGGGAAUUGUUAUAUUAUCCCCUAUUUAUAAGAUUUACAAUUUGUUAAUAUUUUACUGUUGACUUUGGGUGGAUUAUUUAUUUGUUUAUGCAACAAUGCUCAUUAUACCAUCAUAUUAGUCAUUUUAUUAAGCAAUAUUAGGCUAUAGUUUAAGUUUAUGGCUCUUAUGAAUGUUUUCAGUAUGACUUUGUUAAAUGCUAACUUCUAAACUGAAUGAAAUAACAUAUCCUUCAUAGUGUUAUUUUCUACUGUUUUUUUAGUGUUGAAAGCAUUUCUUAUAUACAUCAUCAUGAUGAUUAUCGACCGAAUGUAGUAACAUGUGAGCAAUAACCUGCCCAUGCUGAAUGAUGUUCCAUUCCAUUUCAUUACUUUCUGGUCAUUCAGUGUUGCCAGAUAUUAGCACGAAAACAAACAAAAUAGGCCAUAAAGAAAAAAUAGACCUUGUCUUUUAGAAAUAAAUAAGAGACAGCGCUAACACUAACAUGCACAUUCAUACUUUCCCAAAGUGUCACGUUAAUUGCUAAAACAUUAAACAUUACAUCUAAAGAGGAUGGGAUCUGGCAACACUGCAAAUUCUGCACCCACGGUCGCCAGCGUCUCACAGCUGCUUGAGUCAAUCUCCAUCAUUUUAAACUAAACU